UCGGGUAUGGUGUAGCGGUAACAUCGGUGACUCUCAAUUUCAGUUGAAGUACUCACCAGCCCGGGGUUCGACUCCCCGUAUCCGAG